rnacentral:rRNA from 1 species
AGUGAACGCUGGCGGUAGGCCUAACACAUGCAAGUCGAACGGCAGCACAGUAAGAGCUUGCUCUUACGGGUGGCGAGUGGCGGACGGGUGAGGAAUACAUCGGAAUCUACUUUUUCGUGGGGGAUAACGUAGGGAAACUUACGCUAAUACCGCAUACGACCUACGGGUGAAAGCAGGGGAUCUUCGGACCUUGCGCGAUUGAAUGAGCCGAUGUCGGAUUAGCUAGUUGGCGGGGUAAAGGCCCACCAAGGCGACGAUCCGUAGCUGGCCUGAGAGGAUGAUCAGCCACACGGGAACUGAGACACGGUCCAGACUCCGAAGGGAGGCAGCAGUGGGGAAUAUUGGACAAUGGGCGCAAGCCUGAUCCAGCCAUACCGCGGGGGUGAAGAAGGCCUUCGGGUUGUAAAGCCCUUUUGUUGGGAAAGAAAAGCAGCAGGUUAAUACCCCGCUGUUCUGACGGUACCCAAAGAAUAAACACCGGCUAACUUCGU